rnacentral:rRNA from 1 species
UACGUAGGGGGGCAAGCGUUGUCCGGAUUUAUUGGGCGUAAAGAGCGUGUAGGCGGCCAGACAGGUCAGCUGUGAAAACUCGAGGCUCAACCUCGAGACGUCGGUUGAAACCGUCUGGCUAGAGUCCGGAAGAGGAGAGUGGAAUUCCCGGUGUAGCGGUGAAAUGCGCCAGAUAUCGGGAAGAACACCCGUGGCGAAGGCGGCUCUCUGGGACGGUACUGACGCUGAGAC